rnacentral:lncRNA from 1 species
AAUAAUCAGUUUAAAACAAAAAAGUAUAAUAAAAAUGUAGAGGAAGAAACUUGGGUAUAAAAGACAAAGUUUAGGCUCGAUUCUUUGCUAUUUGUCUUCACCAAAGCUUUCAGUAGCUCCUUAUGUUCUUUUUGCAGCAGUGAGGCCUCUAUCGAAGCUCAGAGAAUUGUAAACUACAGUAUUCCUUUUUUUUUCUUUCAUCUUCUC